UGCGUAGGCGGGAUAUUAAGUCAGUGGUGAAAUCCUGCGGCUCAACCGUAGAACUGCCAUUGAUACUGAUAUUCUUGAAUGUAGUUGAGGUAGGCGGAAUGUGUAAUGUAGCGGUGAAAUGCUUAGAUAUUACACAGAACACCGAUUGCGAAGGCAGCUUACUAAACUAUGAUUGACGCUGAGGCACGAAAGCGUGGGGAGCGAACAGGAUUAGAUACCUGGUAGUCC
rnacentral:rRNA from 1 species